AUGAAAACCCCUCGUCAUGUAAAUGUUAAGAAUUUGGAGAAAGCAGGUGGCGAAUAUUAUCAUUUUGGAUUAUUGAAAGCCCUUCAAAAUGCCCUAGAACGAACUCGAGAGAAAGUCACGAAUAUUGUCAUGGUAGCAGGCAUUAAUGGUCUACCACUGUUCAAGAGUAGUGGCGUACAUUUCACUCCCAUUCUCGGUAAAAUAAUUUCAAUUCCGGAUCUCCGCCAUCACGUUUUCCCAAUUGCUAUUCAUUGUGGAGAUACUGACAAACCGCAGGACGCGGAGGAAUUCUUGAGUCCAUUCAUUGAUGAGGUAACAGAUCUCAUUAAUAACGGAGUAAAGUUUAAAGGCAAUGUAUACAACUUUACUUUGAAAGGUUUUAGUUGCGACUGCCCUGCAAAAUCUUUCGUGUUAUCUUCUAUUGCCAGCAAUGGAAAAUAUGGUUGUACUAAAUGCGUUCAAGAAGGUAAAUGGUCUCAUCUUUGUCGAAGGACUUUUUACCCACAAGUUGAUGCACGUUUGAAAACGCAUGAAGAUUUUAUUAACAAAACUGUUCCACAGUUCCAUCUGGGGGACUCGCCUUUGCUUCGAAUACCUGGUAUAGACUUUAUUAAUGAUUUUCCUCUUGAUUACCUUCAUUUAGUCUGCGUUGGUGUAGUGAAGACGCUUGUUAAGUUAUGGGUAUUCGCUUCUAAAAACAAUGCCAAACUUCCUGCUGAACUAAUUUGUCAGGCCUCAGGGAAAAUGUUACUGUAUGAGAAAUUCAUUCCUUCCGAAUUCGCUCGUAGGUCUAGAGCCAUGGAGGACGUCAAGAGAUGGAAAGCCACCGAGCUUCGUCUGUUUGGCUGUUACUUAGGCCCCUAUGUGUUAGAUGGUAUCCUCAGUGAACAGCGUCUCGGUAAUUUUGUUUUGUUAUAUGUUAGCCUCAGAUUAUUAUUGAACCCCGUUCGGUGUAGAGAGUACAAAGAAAUUGCAACUGAAAUGCUUGUUGAAUUUGUAGAAAAUUGCAAAAUAGCCUAUGCAGACAAUCUCUUAACGCACAACUUCCACAACUUGAUACACUGGCCGAGGAAUCUUGAUUCAUUUGACAAUAUGGAAGAUUGUAGUACCUUUGAUUUUGAAGCUUUCUUAUAUUAUUUGAAGCAGACUGUUGUCAAAGGCGAUAAACCAUUGCAACAGUGUGUGAAACGUAUCGAAGAAGCAGAUGCUUGUCCACCUUCACUGCCUUCAAAGAAACCCGAUUUCCCACGGUGCUCAAUGCCGUACCGUUGUCGUGGGCCAUUUUUAGAAGGAUGUGCUCGUCCCACUUAUCAAACAGUGCAUUUUCCAACCUUUAAACUUUCUGUCUUUGCUAGGGAUAGUUGUUUCACGACUUUGGAUGGCAGCAUAUUUGUCUUGCGGAAUAUUUGCACUGCUUCCGAAUCAAAUGACAUUCUUCUUGUCGGACGGAAGUUUUUACAAAAAGAAAAUGCUUUUAACACUCCUUGCCCGAGUUCGGAUCUGAAGAUUUACAUUGUAUCAAACUUAUCAGAAAUGAUUGUUGUACCUGUUUGUGACGUUCAGUACAAGAACAUGUUGUUGCCAUUCCGAUCAAAAUUUGUGGCCCAGCCAAUUUUACACACUCUAUCAUAA
rnacentral:lncRNA from 1 species